UGUCAUGCUUGAAGAUAUUGAUUUGAUAUUUGUUAUAUAGUUUACACCAUGACAAGUUAUAGAUCAAGUUAGCAUUUUGUUCCAGUACAACAAAUUUUUAACCGGUAGGGGACUAUGUAUUGCCAGGCAAUACACACAGAAUGCUUGUUGAUUUUCAAUUUUGACUUGUUUAACUUUUUGUAAAAAGAAAACCUAUUACCUUACUAAGACAUGAUAUUUUUAACUGACAUGUCUAUGGUGGUACUUCUUAAUGUUGCAUAUUUUGCAGAGAAGCAGCAACCAAUGAUCCUCAGCACUCUAGACUUUGACUUGGAUGAGGUGUCUUACCUGGUAUAGAUAUGUAAUCUGAGCUCUAGGUUGUGACUUGGAUAAGGUGUCUACCUGGUAUUAAUAUGUAAUCUGAGCUCUAGGUUUUGACUUGGAUAAGGUGUCUUACCUGGUAUAGAUAUGUAAUCUGAGCUCUAGGCUUUGACUUGGAUAAGGUGUCUACCUGGUAUAGAUAUGUAAUCUGAGCUCUAGGUUUUGACUUGGAUAAGGUGUGUACCUGGUAUUAAUAUGUAAUCUGAGCUCUAGGCUUUGACUUGGAUAAGGUGUCUACCUGGUAUAGAUAUGUAAUCUGAGCUCUAGGUUUUGACUUGGAUAAGGUGUCUACCUGGUAUAGAUAUGUAAUCUGAGCUCUAGGUUUUGACUUGGAUAAGGUGUCUUACGUCCUGGUAUAGAUAUGUAAUCUGAGCUCUAGGCUUUGACUGGGAUAAGGUGUCUACCUGGUAUUGAUAUGUAAUCUGAGCUCUAGGCUUUGACUUGGAUAAGGUGUCUACCUGGUAUUAAUAUGUAAUCUGAGCUCUAGACUUUGACUUGGAUAAGGUGUCUACCUGGUAUUGAUAUGUAAUACAUUGUAGAAACAAAAAUGACAUCAUAAACACAGGACAUAUUUUCAAAACUAUGAAUAUUCAUGGAAUGGUGCAACUUUGUAGGUUGACUGGAUCAACUUUUUCAAUAUGCAUAAUCUUAAGGUCCAUAUAUUCUUCUUGUCUUGUUGU